AGAGUUGAUCAUGGCUCAGGAUUAACGCUGGCGGCGUGCCUAAUACAUGCAAGUCGAAUGGUAGUAGCAAUACAAACCAUGGCGAACGGGUGAGUAACACGUAGGCAACCUGACUUUAAGACGAGGAUAACCGUUGGAAACGACGGAUAAUACUGGAUAGGACAUCAGAAAGGGCAUCCUUAGAUGUUUAAAGGUUAUUAUGCCACUUAGAGAGGGGCCUGCGGCGCAUUAGCUAGUUGGUGAGAUAACAGCCCACCAAGGCGAUGAUGCGUAGCCGGACUGAGAGGUUGAACGGCCACAAUGGAACUGAGAACGGUCCAUACUCCUACGGGAGGCAGCAGUAGGGAAUUUUCGGCAAUGGGCGCAAGCCUGAACCCGAGCAACGCCGCGUGAACGAAGAAGUUAUUCGUAAUGUAAAGUUCUUUUAUCUGGGAAGAAAAACAAAUUGACGGUACCAGAUGAAUAAGCUCCGGCUAACUACGUGCCAGCAGCGGC
rnacentral:rRNA from 1 species